UUGGAGGGCAAGUCUGGUGCCAGCAGCCGCGGUAAUUCCAGCUCCAAUAGCGUAUAUUAAAGUUGUUGCAGUUAAAAAGCUCGUAAUUGAAUUUCGGGAUCAAAUUGUCGGUCGUGCCUCGGUACGCACUGGUAUUAUUGGUUCCUACCUUCUGAAGAACCGCGAUGUCAUUAAUUUGGUGUCAUGGGGAAUCAGGACUGUUACUUUGAAAAAAUUAGAGUGUUUAAAGCAGGCUUACGCUUGAAUACAUUAGCAUGGAAUAAUGAAAUAGGACGUUUGAUUCUAUUUUGUUGGUUUCUAGGAUUGACGUAAUGAUUAAUAGGGAUAGUUGGGGGCAUUAGUAUUCAAUUGUCAGAGGUGAAAUUCUUGGAUUUAUUGAAGACUAACUACUGCGAAAGCAUUUGCCAAGGAUGUUUUCAUUAGUCAAGAACGAAAGUUAGGGGAUCGAAGACGAUCAGAUACCGUCGUAGUCUUAACCAUAAACUAUGCCGACUAGGGAUCGGAUGAUGUUAAUUUUUUAAUGACUCAUUCGGCGCCUUACGGGAAACCAAAGUGUUUGGGUUC
rnacentral:rRNA from 1 species